AUGUCAUGCAAUUUGGAAAUCACAGUUAUACAAAAAACUAGAGGUCAGAGAUGUGUGAACACAUCUAGUUCCAGGCCAUAUACAUCCAGAACUAGGGCUAGUAGUAGAACCCCAAGUGGUCCUAGAACACCAAGUGCUUAUGCAACUGCAACUGUCAAUGAAAGCCAAGAAAACCAAAAGAAGCCACUUGAUCCUGUUGUGGAGGAGGCAUUGCCUGAUGCACCUGGUGUGGAGGAUGAGGUUCUAUAUCCUGGAUAUGUCCAGCACAAUAAUGAUGAAGGAGAUGUAGCAGAUAAAGAGUACGUUCCUGCAGAAUUUUCAGAUGCAGAUGAGGAUGAGAAGCAAGAGGAUGUUGAGAUGGGAGUUUUUGAAGAUGCAGAAGAGGACAGACCUGUAAAGAUGUAUGACAAGGAAAAUCCAUGUAUUGGUGAAGGUGUGGUUUUCCCUAGUGCAGUUGACUGCAGAAAUGCAGUUCCAAUCUUCUCAAUCAAGUCUGAAACUGAGUUCCUUACUCUGAAAAGUGAUCCAACAAGGUUUACUGUCAAAUGUGCUUAUGAGAAAUGCAAGUGGAGACUGCAUGCCUCUUUAAUGAGGAAGAGCACACUAUUUCAGAUUAAAGUCAACCCAUAUCAGCAUACAUGUCCUAGUGUGAAUAGAUCUCAGAGAUUGAGAGCUGCAAAAAGAAGAUGGAUAGCGGAUGCUUCUAUGGCUUGGAUCAAAGCAAAUCUAGGAAUUGGUACAAAGGAAAUUCAGAGCAAGUUGUUAGAGAAAUAUGGUGUGGAGGUGCCGUAUGACAGAUGCUACCAUGGCAAAGAGAUUGCACUUGACAAACUGUAUGGAAAGUAUAGUGAUAGCUUUCAGUUGUUAUAUAGUUUCAAAGCUGAAGUAGAGAGGGCAUCACCAGGCAGUAUUGCGGAAAUUGAGAAGCACACAGUUGAGUACAAGAUGAAUAACAAGAAGUUCUACAAGGAGUGCUUUAGAAGGGUGUUUGUGUGCUUCAAAGCAUGUCAAAAAGGUUUUCUGGAGGGGUGUAGGCCAUACCUAGCUGUAGAUGCUACUGCACUGACUGGUAGGUUCAGAGGGCAACUUGUGGCAGCAUGUGCACUAGAUGGACACAACUGGUUAUUUCCUGUUGCAUAUGGUGUUUUGGAAGGGGAGUCAAUUGAGAGUUGGACUUGGUUUUUUAGCAACCUAAAGAAAGUAAUAGGUCAUCCAGAAGGUUUAGUGAUACAUACUGAUGCUUGCAAGGGAUUGGAAACUGUUGUUGAGGAUGUUUACCCUGGAGUGGAGCACAGAGAGUGCAUGAGGCACUUGGCCCAAAAUUUCAGCAAGAAAUUCAAGGGGAAGUUUUGUGAUGAUAAUUUGUGGCCAUGCUCACUAACUUGUAGCAUCAAGAAACACAACUAUCACUUGAACCAGUUGAAAAGCAAGCCCACAGUAAAGGAAUAUCUAGAGGAACACCACACAAAAACAUGGGCAAGAGCUGAUUUCAAUGAGAUUAGCAAAGUUGACUAUGUCAAUAACAACCUAGCUGAGUCAUUCGACUCCAGAAUCAAAAAAUACAAGAGCCUGCACAUAGUUGAUCUGCUAGACAAGAUUAGGCAGUAUAUCAUGGAGAAGUUGGAGUUAAGAAACAGAUUUGCCUCUGACCAUUUCAUUGGGUACUACAUCAUACCAGCAGUUAUGAAGGUGUUAAUCGAGAAAACCAAAGGUUUGCAAAGGAGUAUAGUGAGGAGAAGCCCAACAGAGGCAGAGGUGACUGCUACUGAUAGUGAGAAGAGAGAAUGGAUGUACCCUGUUGACUUAGAGCGCUGGUCUUGCAGUUGCAGACAGUGCCAGAUCACAGAUAAACCAUGCAUCCAUGCACUUUUCUUUAUCACUGCUCUAAAGAGGUGA
rnacentral:rRNA from 1 species